rnacentral:rRNA from 1 species
GCAGCAGCCGCGGGAAUACAGAGGUCCCGAGCGUUGUUCGGAUUCACUGGGCGUAAAGGGUGUGUAGGAGGUUUGGUAAGUCAGGUGUGAAAUCCCACAGCUCAACUGUGGAACUGCAUUCGAUACUGCCGAACUAGAGGCUUGGAGGGGGAAGCGGAAUUCUUGGUGUAGCGGUGAAAUGCGUAGAUAUCAAGAGGAACACCGGUGGCGAAGGCGGCUUCCUGGACAAGUCCUGACUUUGAAACACGAAAGCCAGGGGAGCGAAUGGGAUUAGAUACCCGCGUAGUCCCUGUCUCUUAUAC